AACGAACGCUGGCGGCAGGCUUAACACAUGCAAGUCGAGCGCCCUUUUCGGAGGGAGCGGCAGACGGGUGAGUAACGCGUGGGAAUCUACCUUUUGCUACGGAAUAACUCAGGGAAACUUGUGCUAAUACCGUAUGUGUCCUUCGGGAGAAAGAUUUAUCGGCAAAGGAUGAGCCCGCGUUGGAUUAGCUAGUUGGUGAGGUAAAGGCUCACCAAGGCGACGAUCCAUAGCUGGUCUGAGAGGAUGAUCAGCCACACUGGGACUGAGACACGGCCCAGACUCCUACGGGAGGCAGCAGUGGGGAAUAUUGAACAAUGGGCGCAAGCCUGAUCCAGCCAUGCCGCGUGAGUGAUGAAGGUCUUAGGAUUGUAAAGCUCUUUCACCGGUGAAGAUAAUGACGGUAACCGGAGAAGAAGCCCCGGCUAACUUCGUGCCAGCCGCCGCCGUAAGAC
rnacentral:rRNA from 1 species